AAGUCGUAACAAGGUUUCCGUAGGUGAACCUGCGGAAGGAUCAUUACCGAGUUACUGGUUGCUAUUUUAUAGCACCAACUCCCACCCUUAUGUUUAUUAUAAUUUGUCGUCUUUGGCAAAGCGUUUUGGCUUUUGCUAAUCCACUGACAGCGAAAACUGUGAGUGAGUCUUUGCCAAAGUUUAACUCUUAAUACUUUUUAUGGCUGUCUGAGUUUAUAAAGAAAUGAAUCAAAACUUUCAACAACGGAUCUCUUGGUUCUG
rnacentral:misc_RNA from 1 species